GGAAGUGGUGGUUAGAGAUGACUCAGCCAAGCCAUGCAUUUCAUUCUUUCUCUCUCCAGUCUCUGAGCGCUCUCCUCCCUCCGUCACCUCCUCUCUGCAUUCUAUUCAUUCUUCUCUCUCAUUCUGGAGCCUUUACUUUCUGUCUUACUGUCUUUUCUUUCAAUCCCUGUCACCACCUUGUGUCUUUUCUCUCUCCUCGUGAUUCACCUUGACCUUUGCAGCUAUCUGAGUGUGUGUGUUUGUGUGUGAGUAGGACACUCAGUAAUGUGAGUGGGAAGAUAUCUGGCUUCCUUCAGGGUGAUUAAAACAUUCCUCCUCUCUUCUUUUUCCUCCCUCUCUCUCUCUCUCUUUCUCUUUGCCCUUCUUAGUUUUCACUCAAGACUUUCUGAUGAAGAGGAGGAUGAAGAGAGACAAACUGGGCUGAGGCGCAGGAUUGAUAAACAGCCUCACCACAGGACUAUCGGCUGGUUUCCCCCACAUUCAGCCAUCCUGACGAGCGGCGGGGAAACCACCUGAGCGGCUCAUCAGUCGAGAUGUUGCUGAGUCACUUUGGGGUCACAACAUCAUCAUGGGAUGGAAGGCUGGUGACCGCAGGCGGCGACACAAGAGCUGGUGCUGUGAGCCGCGGUUUGCAGCUGGCAAACUGAAUCCCUCUGUGGAGUUGCCUCGGGGAAUAAUUUGCCCAAAUGUUGAAAGGAAGAACAAAUUCAAGAGGUCUGAAUGGGCAAAGCCGGCAACAAUGGAGGCGCACACCGGGGCUGCUGCAGGAGGAGCGCAGUGGAGACAGGUGGCGGGGAGACGAGGCAGAAACAGAGGGGACGCUCCGGACGAGCCGGGCAGGACCAAACAGGCUGGGGGGAGUCUGGAGCCAACGCUGACCAGGACCGAGCACCUGACAUGAAGCCAGCAGAGACAAUGAGCCGACAGGGAGUGGUGGGGUGAGCCAGGGUUUAGCUGAUGUUGAUGAGAUUGGACACAGCUGUGCUCCUUCUGCAGCUGUGUCCAGUCGCCGGGAUCGUCAGUAGGAGGGAAGGGCCAUGACACACAUUGCUGCUCAAAUUCUUUAAAAUUAAACAAUAAAAUGCAUAGUUUGUUCAAGACUCUCUGUAACAACAAACAGAAACGAUUUCUGAUAUAAUCUGUAGGUCCCAAAACUAUUAUUGAUCACUUUUGAUGAAUUUUUUUGGUAUAAAACAACCUAAUUAGUCAUAGAUAAAGAUAUUAAAGGUAAAAAUAUAAACAUUCUUCUUGAGGUUACAGGAUCUUUGUUUGCAUUAUUACUUGUCCUACAGGUUAGGGAACAACAGAUUGUUGUCAUACUUUCAGUCUACACAGUCUCAAAUGAUUUGUUGACCCAUCCAUCCAUCCCAGCCUCCUCUGACUGAGGAUCUUGUUGCUCUUUGACAAAUUAAGAUGAUUUUGCUCCUUUGCUCCCAUCAGAACUGCUGACUAAUGAUGCUGUUAUUAAUCUGUGGAGGAUCACCUCAAGAGCAGAGCUUUUUCUGACAAAUCUAACUGUACAAUUAAUUGAUAUCAGUGGUCAGUUCAUGUUUGUUUCUCAAUGAACUAAAAGGAUUCACGAUGUGUCAGUAAGUGAAGCAGCGCCUGGCGACAGCGGCAGUGAUUCCAUCCACUGAUAAGGUCACAGCAAUGUGGAACAUCUGACUGUGUUUCUGAAGAAGCAGUGAAGGCUGCUCUUGUUUAUUUUUCUAACUAAGGCCAAGUACAACUGACCAUCAGUGAGCUGAAGUAGGGAGUGGUGAUCAAUGAGCAGUGCUUUAAUCACACUUACAGUUAAGAAAACUGUAACAAAGAUGUAAAAGUGAAACUGAACUUCAAAGCCUCAGCUCUGCUCUGGGGGUUCUAAUAGGCAUACGGGUUCUGUAAAGCGUCUUGAGACUGUUCAAAUUGCAAUUAGUGCUAUAUAAAUAAAAUUGAAUUGAAAAAUUAAA